rnacentral:rRNA from 1 species
GGCGAUAGUGGCAGACGGGUGAGUAACGCGUAGGAAUCUACCUCUUGGUGGGGAAUAGCCUUCCGAAAGGAGGGGUAAUACCGCAUAAGGUCUUCGGAUCAAAGACCAUAACUGGUCGCCGAGAGAGGAGCCUGCGUCCUAUCAGCUAGUUGGUGAGGUAAUAGCUCACCAAGGCUAUGACGGGUAGGGGGUGUGAGAGCAUGGCCCCCCACAAGGUCACUUAGACACGGGACCUACAUCUACGGAUGGCAGCAACCGGGAAUAUUGCGCAAUGGACGAAAGUCUGACGCAGCGACGCCGCGUGUGGGAAGAAGGCCUUCGGGUCGUAAACCACUGUGGUAGGGGAAUAAACAAAUGAAGGUACCCUACUAGAAAGCACCUGCUAACCACGUGCCAGAAGCCUCGGUAAUACGUGGGGUGCGAGCGUUAUCCGGAUUUACUGGGCGUAAAGAGUAUCGUAGGCGGCUUGGUAAGUACAUGGUUAAAGGCUCCGGCUCAACCGGAGAGAUGCUGUGUAUACUGCCAGACUAGAGGGUUGUCGGGAGUGCCGGAAUUCUCGGUGGAGGGGUGAAAUCCGUUGAUAUCGAGAGGAACACCAAAGGCGAAGGCAGGCACUUAGGCAACAUCUGACGCUGAUGAACGAAAGCUAGGGUAGCAAAUGGGAUUAGAGACCCCAGUAGUCCUAGCCGUAAACGGUGGAUACUAGCUGAUGGGAUUUAUCUCGUCGGCGUAAGCUAACGCGUUAAGUAUCCCGCCUGGGAAGUACGGCCGCAAGGCUAAAACUCAAAGGAAUUGACGGGGGAGCGCACAACCGGUGGAGCAUGUGGUUUAAUUCGAUACAAAGCGAAGGACCUCACCCAGACUUGACAUGUAGCUGCAAGCUUUAGGAAACUAGAGCCUUCUUCGAGAGUGCUACACAGCUGUUGCAUGGCUGUCGUCAGUUCGUGUCGUGAGGCGUCCUCUUAAGUGAGGUAACGAACGCAACCCCUAUCGUGUGUUGAAUGUUCACGCGAGACUGCUCUUGAUAGUAUCAAGGGAGGAAGGAAGGGAUGACGUCAAGUCAGCAUGACGCUUACGUCUGGGGCCACACACAUCCUACAAUGGGAAGGACAACGGGUCGCCAACCAGUAAUGGGGAGCUAAUCCUACAAACCUUCCCUCAGUUCAGAUUGAGGGCUGCAACUCGCCCUCAUGAAGUCGGAAUCGGUAGUAAUCGCAGGUCAGCAGACUGCGGUGAAUACGUUCUCGCUCCUUGUACACACCGCCCGUCAAGUGAGCAAAGUUGGCAGUACCUGAAGUCGGUCUCCCAAACCCGCAAGGGAUGGGCCCGCCUAAGGUAAGGUCAGCUAUGAGCGCUAAGUCGUAACAAGGUA